rnacentral:tRNA from 1 species
AGGAUUGUAGUUAAAAAUAACAUUUAAUUUGCAAUUAAAAAGUACUAUGAAGUUAAUCUUU